GACAAUGCACAGUAACCUGGUACUGUCCACGUGGACCUCCCAAGCUUACAAAAUAAGAUGAUGCCUACUUUUGACAGAGCUGUGACCAAAAUAAAUGGACCAAUGUACAGAAGUGUGGGAAGAUCUACUUCAGAGAGGCGGUCAAGGGGAAACUAAGGCCAAGGUCUGAAGGCAGAGAAGGAGCUAGCCAUGCGGAGAGCCAGGUAGGUGCCUUCUGGGCAGAGAGAAGGGUGUGUGCAAAGGCCCCGAGGAAGUCACCAGCUUACUCUGUCAGAGGAAAAGACAAAGGCCCAGGUGGCUGGAGCAGAGUAGUUUCCCUAAACAUUUGACUAACCAGGACCCCGUAUUUCAUCACUGCUUAAGGCAAACCCCAGGUAGGAAAAUGACUCAUGCAUUGCCUAAAGAGGCCCCCAAAUGUGUACACACACACACACACACACA